UUACAGCCAUAUCACAUUGAAAUACCAGUUCUCAUAUGAUCACUGAAGUUAAGCAAUGUUGAGCCUGGUCAGUACCAAGAUGGGUGACUGCUUGGAAAUACCAGUGUAGCA